GUACGGGAGGCAGCAGUGGGGAAUAUUGCACAAUGGGGGAAACCCUGAUGCAGCGACGCCGCGUGAAGGAAGAAGUAUCUCGGUAUGUAAACUUCUAUCAGCAGGGAAGAAAAUGACGGUACCUGACUAAGAAGCCCCGGCUAACUACGUGCCAGCAGCCGCGGUAAUACGUAGGGGGCAAGCGUUAUCCGGAUUUACUGGGUGUAAAGGGAGCGUAGACGGAGCAGCAAGUCUGAUGUGAAAGGCGGGGGCUCAACCCCUGGACUGCAUUGGAAACUGUUGGUCUUGAGUACCGGAGAGGUAAGCGGAAUUCCUAGUGUAGCGGUGAAAUGCGUAGAUAUUAGGAGGAACACCAGUGGCGAAGGCGGCUUACUGGACGGUAACUGACGUUGAGGCUCGAAAGCGUGGGGAGCAAACAGGAUUAGAUACCCCGGUAGA
rnacentral:rRNA from 1 species